UAUUUGCCGUGAGGAUAGUUAUUCAGCUUUAAUGCCAGUUCUGCUUCUGAAAUUUCGUGACUGAGAGCUGUAAUAUUUUCUGAGCACCUA
rfam:Lupinus angustifolius cultivar Tanjil contig_17745, whole genome shotgun sequence.